AAAGCACUUAACCGUAAGUCACUCUGGAUAAGAGUGUCUGCUAAAUGACUAAAA
rfam:Salmo salar isolate Sally breed double haploid chromosome ssa14, whole genome shotgun sequence.